rnacentral:rRNA from 2 species
GUUCGGUCCCUAUCUGCCGUGGGCGCUGGAGAACUGAGGGGGGCUGCUCCUAGUACGAGAGGACCGGAGUGGACGCAUCACUGGUGUUCGGGUUGUCAUGCCAAUGGCACUGCCCGGUAGCUAAAUGCGGAAGAGAUAAGUGCUGAAAGCAUCUAAGCACGAAACUUGCCCCGAGAUGAGUUCUCCCUGAGACUUAGAGUCUCCUGAAGGAACGUUGAAGACGACGACGUUGAUAGGCCGGGUGUGUAAGCGCAGCGAUGCGUUGAGCUAACCGGUACUAAUGAACCGUGAGGCUUAACCUUAC